UACGGGGGGGGCAAGCGUUGUUCGGAAUUACUGGGCGUAAAGGGCUCGUAGGUGGCCAACUAAGUCAGACGUGAAAUCCCUCGGCUUAACCGGGGAACUGCGUCUGAUACUGGAUGGCUUGAGUUCGGGAGAGGGAUGCGGAAUUCCAGGUGUAGCGGUGAAAUGCGUAGAUAUCUGGAGGAACACCGGUGGCGAAGGCGGCAUCCUGGACCGACACUGACACUGAGGAGCGAAAGCAUGGGGAGCGAACAGG
rnacentral:rRNA from 1 species